GCCGAAAUAGGUCAGAUGGGAGAGCGUCAGACUGAAGAUCUGAAGGUCCCUGGUUCAACCCCCGGGUUUCGGCA